rnacentral:rRNA from 1 species
AAAGAUUCCCUUAGUAGCGGCGAGCGAACAGGGAAAAGCCCAGCACUGAAUCCCUCGGUCCUCAGUUGGCCGUUGGGAAAUGUAGUGUUUGGGAGAGUCCAAUUCCGGGCCUAGGUGGCGUGUCUAAGUUCUUCUUGAAUGAGGCUCAUCCCGUAGAGGGUGAUAGGCCCAUAAGACCGCUGGCGAAGCUCGGAGGGCUCUCCUUAGAGUCGUGUUGCUUGAGAGUGCAGCACUAAGUGGGUGGUAAACUCCAUCUAAGGCUAAAUAUGACCACGAGACCGAUAGCAAACAAGUACCGUGAGGGAAAGUUGAAAAGAACUUUGAAGAGAGAGUUCAAUAGUACGUGAAACCGUUCAGGAGUAAACCUGAGAACUCGAAGUUUUGAGGCGUCUGACUCAGCGAGUCGCCCAGGUCGGGUCGCUCGGGCAGUGGUUUGGCUGGCUACGGCUACGCCUGCCGGCCCGGGCGUCGGCCUUCCUGGGACUUGUGCAGUUCAGACGUAGUAGAGCGUCGCAACUUGUUGGUGGCUUGGGUCUAGGGGGCUGCUCUCGAGUCCGACUGUUGAAAUGCGCUGCCUUCGGGCGGCGCGCAUUCGGCUGGGCGGCCUCUGCCCCAUCGGCCGACAGAGUGCAGCUUAGGCUCUGGGCGCGCGACUUGUCGCGUUCGGCCCGGCGCAAGGCACGGCCGACUAACCUAGUCGUCGAGCUCUCGGGCUCGGCUCUAGGCCCGGCCAACUGCUGGCGCCGGUGUUCUCGGACAGCUCAGAGUCGGUUGGCGACGGUAGGUUUCGAGUCCCCUCAGGGCCCGUCUUGAAACACGGACCAAGGAGUCUAGCAUGAGCGCAAGUCAAAGGGAUUUGAGACCCUGCGGCGAAAUGAAAGUGAGCGGCGAGGGACGAUGGUUUACUCAGCCUGACAACUCGCAGUCCCGGGGCGCCUCUACGCCGCUAACGCGGUGAGGCGUACCUUGAGCGCCCAUGCUGGUACCCGAAAGAUGGUGAACUAUGCUUGGUCAGGACGAAGUCAGGGGAAACCCUGAUGGAGGUCCGUAGCGGUUCUGACGUGCAAAUCGAUCGUAUGAACUGAGUAUAGGGGCGAAAGACUAAUCGAACCAUCUAGUAGCUGGUUCCCUCUGAAGUUUCCCUCAGGAUAGCUGGCAUUCGGUUGAGACGAGUCUCAUCCGGUAAAGCGAAUGAUUAGAGGCCUUGGGGCCGAAACGGCCUCAACCUAUUCUCAAACUUUAAAUGGGUGAGAAGCUCGGCUUGCUUAAGAGUGAAGCCGAGUCUCAUACCAGAUCAGAG